rnacentral:tRNA from 1 species
GCGAAGAUGGCGGAAGUUUGGUAGACGCGCUAAUUUCAGGUGUUAGUGUUUUUGAUAAAAUAAACGUGAGGGUUCAAUUCCCUCUCUUCGCA